CCUACGGGUGGCAGCAGUAGGGAAUCUUUCACAAUGGGCGAAAGCCUGAUGGAGCAACGCCGCGUGCAGGAUGAAGGCCUUCGGGUUGUAAACUGCUUUUAUAAGCGAGAAAUAUGAUGGUAACUUAUGAAUAAGGAUCGGCUAACUACGUGCCAGCAGCCGCGGUCAUACGUAGGAGCCGAGCAUUAUCCGGAGUGACUGGGUGUAAAGAGUUGCGUAGGUGGGAUAAUAAGUAGCUAGUGAAAUCUGGUGGCUCAACCAUUCAGACUAUUAGCUAAACUGUUAAGCUCGAGACUGUUAGGGGUAACUGGAAUUUCUAGUGUAGGAGUGAAAUCCGUAGAUAUUAGAAGGAACACCAGUAGCGUAGGCAGGUUGCUGGGACGGUUCUGACACUAAGGCACGAAAGCGUAGGGAGCAAACGGGAUUAGAUACCCGAGUAGUC
rnacentral:rRNA from 1 species